rnacentral:rRNA from 1 species
CGAACGGGUGAGUAAUGCGUGACCAACCUGCCCCAUGCUCCAGAAUAGCUCUUGGAAACGGGUGGUAAUGCUGGAUGCUCCAACUUGACGCAUGUCUUGUUGGGAAAGUGUUUAGUGGCAUGGGAUGGGGUCGCGUCCUAUCAGCUUGUAGGCGGGGUAAUGGCCCACCUAGGCUUCGACGGGUAGCCGGCCUGAGAGGGCGGACGGCCACAUUGGGACUGAGAUACGGCCCAGACUCCUACGGGAAGCAGCAGGC